rnacentral:rRNA from 1 species
GACGAACCGUGCAAACGUUGUUCGGAAUCACUGGGCUUAAAGGGCGCGUAGGCGGGCAAGCAAGUCGAAGGUGAAAUCCCACGGCUCAACCGUGGAACUGCCGGGCAUACUGGCGAUCUUGAGGCAUUCAGGGGCGAGCGGAACAAAUGGUGGAGCGGUGAAAUGCGUAGAUAUCAUUUGGAACGCCAAUGGUGAAAACAGCUCGCUGGGAAUGAUCUGACGCUGAGACGCGAAAGCCAGGGGAGCGAACGGG